rnacentral:tRNA from 1 species
UGUGGUUAGACUCAGUGGUGAAGUGCUUGCCUCGCACGUGUGAGGCACUGGGUUCGAUCCUCAGCACCACAU